rnacentral:miRNA from 1 species
UCUGAUGCCUGUAGCAUCUGUGGGUGCUGCAUCCAUGUGCACAUACGCACACACAUACACAGAAUGUAAAAACA